rnacentral:rRNA from 1 species
UACGAAGGUGGCAAGCGUUGUUCGGAUUUACUGGGCGUACAGGGAGCGUAGGCGGUUGGAUAAGCCCUCCGUGAAAUCUCCAGGCUUAACCUGGAAAGUGCAGAGGGGACUGUUCAGCUAGAGGAUGGGAGAGGAGCGCGGAAUUCCCGGUGUAGCGGUGAAAUGCGUAGAGAUCGGGAGGAAGGCCGGUGGCGAAGGCGGCGCUCUGGAACAUUUCUGACGCUGAGGCCCGAAAGCGUGGGGAGGCAAACAGG